UUCUUGAGCAGAGUAAAAGCAAAACACUACCUUGCCGUUGGUCGUUGUAGACCUAGCCAAUUCUUCCUUACCAAUAUAUUGUGUGGGAGAAAAUGGCAGGAAGGAAGCUAAAAGCUGGCAGACAAGUUGUUUUGCUGAUGGAAAGCAUGGCUAAAACAGGACAUAGGAAGGUUAUUCCCAGGCCAAAACGUUACUAUGAAAGCAAGAAUUUUCAGACAGUUUUAUUUGACCCAAGAGUUCAGAGGAUGGUCUUUUACCAGCAAAUAAGUAAGUGGGUUGUUGCCAGAAAAUGACAUGGAAAAAUGGAU